rnacentral:rRNA from 1 species
GAUGAACGCUGGCGGCGUGCCUAAUACAUGCAAGUCGAGCGAACGGACGAGAAGCUUGCUUCUCUGAUGUUAGCGGCGGACGGGUGAGUAACACGUGGAUAACCUACCUAUAAGACUGGGAUAACUUCGGGAAACCGGAGCUAAUACCGGAUAAUAUUUUGAACCGCAUGGUUCAAAAGUGAAAGACGGUCUUGCUGUCACUUAUAGAUGGAUCCGCGCUGCAUUAGCUAGUUGGUAAGGUAACGGCUUACCAAGGCAACGAUGCAUAGCCGACCUGAGAGGGUGAUCGGCCACACGGGAACUGAGACACGGUCCAGACUCCGACGGGAGGCAGCAGUAGGGAAUCUUCCGCAAGGGGCGAAAGCCGGACGGAGCAACGCCGCGUGAGUGAUGAAGGUCUUCGGAUCGUAAAACUCUGUUAUUAGGGAAGAACAUAUGUGUAAGUAACUGUGCACAUCUUGACGGUACCUAAUCAGAAAGCCACGGCUAACUACGUG